rnacentral:rRNA from 1 species
GGGGAAUAUUGCACAAUGGGCGAAAGCCUGAUGCAGCGACGCCGCGUGAGGGACGAAGGUCUUCGGAUUGUAAACCUCUUUCAGCAGGGACGAAGCGAAAGUGACUGUACCUGCAGAAGAAGCACCGGCUAACUACGUGCCAGCAGCCGCGGUAAUACGUAGGGUGCAAGCGUUGUCCGGAUUUAUUGGGCGUAAAGAGCUCGUAGGCGGUUCGUCACGUCGGAUGUGAAAACCUGGGGCUUAACCCCGGGCCUGCAUACGAUACGGGCGAACUAGAGUUCGGUAGGGGAGACUGGAAUUCCUGGUGUAGUGGUGAAAUGCGCAGAUAUCAGGAGGAACACCGGUGUCGAAGGCGGGUCUCUGGGCCGAUACUGACGCUGAGGAGCGAAAGCGUGGGGAGCAAACA